AAAUACAACCACAAACAUCAGCUGCACAAACUACCAAGUCAUUGUGAGUGGGAUGGCUUCAGUCAUCCAGGAGAUGCCACUGUACAGACGACAAGAGAUCACACAUGUUCUGCUGGGCUACCUAAGAAGUACUGAAAAUGCCAUCAAUGAGACAGCUUGCAGGCAACAAAAUGACAGUGAUACCCAAUGGCUUGAAGCAAAUCUGGGUCCAUUCGUCCAAUAUACAGCAUA